rnacentral:rRNA from 1 species
CCGUCUGCGACGCGGAGGGACAUUACCGAGUUUACAACUCCCAAACCCAAUGUGAACCAUACCAAACUGUUGCCUCGGCGGGGUCACGCCCCGGGUGCGUCGCAGCCCCGGAACCAGGCGCCCGCCGGAGGGACCAACCAAACUCUUUCUGUAGUCCCCUCGCGGACGUUAUUUCUUACAGCUCUGAGCAAAAAUUCAAAAUGAAUCAAAACUUUCAACAACGGAUCUCUUGGUUCUGGCAUCGAUGAAGAACGCAGCGAAAUGCGAUAAGUAAUGUGAAUUGCAGAAUUCAGUGAAUCAUCGAAUCUUUGAACGCACAUUGCGCCCGCCAGUAUUCUGGCGGGCAUGCCUGUCCGAGCGUCAUUUCAACCCUCGAACCCCUCCGGGGGGUCGGCGUUGGGGAUCGGGAACCCCUAAGACGGGAUCCCGGCCCCGAAAUACAGUGGCGGUCUCGCCGCAGCCUCUCCUGCGCAGUAGUUUGCACAACUCGCACCGGGAGCGCGGCGCGUCCACGUCCGUAAAACACCCAACUUCUGAAAUGUUGACCUCGGAUCAGGUAGGAAUACCCGCUGAACUUAAGCAUAUCAA